AUACUUACCUGGACGGGGUUGGCUAGCGAUCAUGAAGGCUGGCUGCCUAGGUUAGUGGCCUCCAUUGCACAUGUAGGAGGUGCGCUGCCCUAGCGUCUCCUCAACGAGGAGAUCGCACGUCAUAAUUUGUUGCUGGGGGAAUUCGCGUACGCGCGGUCCCCAC